GACGAACGCUGGCGGCGUGCUUAACACAUGCAAGUCGAACGGAAAGGCCCUGCUUGCAGGGUACUCGAGUGGCGAACGGGUGAGUAACACGUGGGUGAUCUGCCCUGCACUUCGGGAUAAGCCUGGGAAACUGGGUCUAAUACCGGCUAGGAGCCAUUUUUAGUGUGAUGGUUGGAAAGUUUUUUCGGUGUAGGAUGAGCUCGCGGCCUAUCAGCUUGUUGGUGGGGUAAUGGCCUACCAAGGCGGCGACGGGUAGCCGGCCUGAGAGGGUGGACGGCCACAUUGGGACUGAGAUACGGCCCAGACUCCGACGGGAGGCAGCAGUGGGGAAUAUUGCACAAUGGGCGCAAGCCUGAUGCAGCGACGCCGCGGGGGGGAUGACGGCCUUCGGGUUGUAAACUCCGUUCGCUAGGGACGAAGCUUUUUGUGACGGUACCUAGAGAAGAAGCACCGGCUAACUACGUG
rnacentral:rRNA from 1 species